rnacentral:rRNA from 1 species
AGAGUUUGAUCCUGGCUCAGGACGAACGCUGGCGGCGCGCCUAACACAUGCAAGUCGAACGAGCGAGAGAGAGCUUGCUUUCUCAAGCGAGUGGCGAACGGGUGAGUAACGCGUGAGGAACCUGCCUCAAAGAGGGGGACAACAGUUGGAAACGACUGCUAAUACCGCAUAAGCCCACAGCUCGGCAUCGAGCAGAGGGAAAAGGAGCGAUCCGCUUUGAGAUGGCCUCGCGUCCGAUUAGCUAGUUGGUGAGGUAAUGGCCCACCAAGGCGACGAUCGGUAGCCGGACUGAGAGGUUGAACGGCCACAUUGGGACUGAGACACGGCCCAGACUCCUACGGGAGGCAGCAGUGGGGAAUAUUGCACAAUGGGGAAACCCUGAUGCAGCGACGCCGCGUGGAGGAAGAAGGUCUUCGGAUUGUAAACUCCUGUUGUUGAGGAAGAUAAUGACGGUACUCAACAAGGAAGUGACGGCUAACUACGUGCCAGCAGCCGCGGUAAAACGUAGGUCACAAGCGUUGUCCGGAAUUACUGGGUGUAAAGGGAGCGCAGGCGGGAAGACAAGUUGGAAGUGAAAUCUAUGGGCUCAACCCAUAAACUGCUUUCAAAACUGUUUUUCUUGAGUAGUGCAGAGGUAGGCGGAAUUCCCGGUGUAGCGGUGGAAUGCGUAGAUAUCGGGAGGAACACCAGUGGCGAAGGCGGCCUACUGGGCACCAACUGACGCUGAGGCUCGAAAGUGUGGGUAGCAAACAGGAUUAGAUACCCUGGUAGUCCACACCGUAAACGAUGAUUACUAGGUGUUGGAGGAUUGACCCCUUCAGUGCCGCAGUUAACACAAUAAGUAAUCCACCUGGGGAGUACGACCGCAAGGUUGAAACUCAAAGGAAUUGACGGGGGCCCGCACAAGCAGUGGAGUAUGUGGUUUAAUUCGACGCAACGCGAAGAACCUUACCAAGUCUUGACAUCCCUUGACGAACAUAGAAAUAUGUUUUCUCUUCGGAGCAAGGAGACAGGUGGUGCAUGGUUGUCGUCAGCUCGUGUCGUGAGAUGUUGGGUUAAGUCCCGCAACGAGCGCAACCCUUACUGUCAGUUACUACGCAAGAGGACUCUGGCAGGACUGCCGUUGACAAAACGGAGGAAGGUGGGGAUGACGUCAAAUCAUCAUGCCCUUUAUGACUUGGGCUACACACGUACUACAAUGGCGUUAAACAAAGAGAAGCAAGACCGCGAGGUGGAGCAAAACUCAGAAACAACGUCCCAGUUCGGACUGCAGGCUGCAACUCGCCUGCACGAAGUCGGAAUUGCUAGUAAUCGUGGAUCAGCAUGCCACGGUGAAUACGUUCCCGGGCCUGUACACACCGCCCGUC